rnacentral:rRNA from 1 species
AUGGCUCCCAACGAGAUCGCGCAGAAGCUGCUCCUCCAAGGAGCCCAAAAUGCAUGGGAUAUGCUGUCUGAGGAGCAAUCACAGAAACACAUCACUACUGGCUCUGGUGACUUGAACGGCAUACUUGGUGGAGGGAUUCAUUGUAAAGAAGUUACCGAGAUAGGUGGGGUUCCAGGAAUUGGUAAAACUCAACUGGGGAUUCAGCUAGCAAUCAACGUCCAAAUUCCCGUGGACUAUGGUGGCCUUGGCGGCAAAGCAAUUUAUAUUGAUACAGAGGGCAGUUUCAUGGUUGAACGCGUCUAUCAAAUUGCUGAAGGGUGUAUCAGUGACAUAAUGGAGUAUUUUCCAUGCCACCAUGACAAGUCGUCAUCUGGCCAAGAAAAUCUGCAGCCUGAGAGUUUCCUGGCAGGAAUCUACUACUUCCGAAUAUGCAGCUACACUGAACAGAUUGCGGUGAUAAACUAUCUGGAGAAAUUCCUCGGAGAACAUAAAGAUGUGAGAAUAGUUAUUAUUGAUAGUGUUACUUUCCACUUUCGACAAGAUUUCGAUGAUCUGGCUCUGAGGACUAGAGUGCUCAGUGGAUUAUCAUUGAAGUUGAUGAAGCUUUCAAAGUCAUAUAACUUGGCGGUGGUCUUGUUGAACCAAGUAACAACUAAAUUUACAGAAGGAUCAUUUCAGUUAACUCUUGCUCUAGGUGACAGCUGGUCCCACUCGUGCACAAAUCGACUGAUUCUAUACUGGAAAGGGAACGAGCGGUGUGCAUACCUGGACAAGUCCCCUUCACUUCCUGUAGCUUCAACACCGUAUGCAGUGACAAGCAAAGGGGUGAGAGACGCUGGCAGUUCAAGCUGCAAGCGAGUUAGGGUAAUGUAG